UGCUAAAAUUUGGAACUUGAAUUCGGGCUGGUUCCACGAUAACAAACCUAACCAACUGAGUUUGCAGGUCAUGUAAAAAAAAAAACUGAGUUUGCAGGUAGUCGGUAUCCGAAACUCGCGUUCCUCCCGAACCACAUGAAAGAAACUGACCUCACUGCUCGUUGCCGCGGUGCCGCCGCGUUCACCGCACGCACUCAUUCGGCCGUCCCGCUCGCGCACCGACACCGGGUUCCCUUGGGAACGGCGGCGACGAGGAGGUCCGGCCCUUGGCGCGACCGGCGGCCCUCCCCCACCCCCCACGCGACGGCAUCGUACGGGGAUGACUGGCAACAGGCUAAUGUCUUCUUCAGGGCAUUGGUAAUUUUUGAAUCCUUCAGGAAGUUAGACAAUUCCUUCGAAAUACAGGCUGGAAAACCUGAGCUCUGCCAAUGCAAUUUUAAUAUUCAGUUGUGCUUCUGCACUGCUGCACAUAAGCAUAUGACGCUCCUUUUCUUCUCUGUUGGGUUGAUGUGGACUGGGAAUCCAUGCAGGUUUGGAAUGUUCUGGGAGUUUUGUUCUGGUCAAUCUAAUCAAAAUAUUGCUUUCUGGGUGGAUGCUCCAAUAUAUCCAGAUUGUUGGGUCUUUGUUUGCUUCCUGGUGGAGUACCAACAUCAGUUAAUUUCCGAAUCCGACACUAAAAUUUGGGGAAUCAGUUACUCAUCCAUCAUUGGUUUGUUUCCUGCAUGAUACGAUUCCUUCUACUUGCAAUAGACGUGUUACUGAACUUCAUCCCAUAUAUUUUGUUUUCACUCAAAUUUACAAAUGGAGUGCUCCACUCAGUUUACUGUCGGCUCCGCUCUGCUGAUAGGAACAAGCUUACCUUCACUGGAGGUACUGCAUAUAUUUGACCCGAAACAUGAGUCAAAUAUAUGCAGUACCUCCAGCGAAGACUCAUGCAAACCCACUAGGGCAGAAGUCUAUUAGAAGUCUAUGAGUGGUUGAUGACCUUUAAAGUUUGAACAGAAUGAUGCUCCAAACAAGGCCAAAUCCCAAGUAUCUUAGUACCUGCAACAAGAAAGGCCAUGAAAUGGAAUCAAAGGCCUUUGAGAUAUCCAACUUGAGGAGAACUCUCUGCUCUUUUUGCCAAUGGAGCAAUUUGGCUAUUUGUUGGACACCAAAUUUUUCAUGAAUGCACAUUCCUUUGACAUAAGCACUUUGAUUGGGAGACACCAAAUCCUUGAGCUUCCUAGCCAGCCUAUUGGCUAGCAUUUUGGUGAUAAGCUUGGAAAAGCUAUGGACUAGGCUUAUAGGGUGAAAGUCUUUGAUUUCCAUCGCAUCUGGAGAUUUUGGUAGCAGGGUGAUAUAGGCUGAAUCCAGAAGGAAUAAUCUGCUCACAUCUCCCUGCAGAACUCGCCAUUGAUGGAUUUUUCAUGAUUUGGUUGCAAUACCUUUUGGACUUGGUAUGUUCUCCAUCACCAUUACAUCACCUCAUUAUCCUCUGUUGUGAUUAGACCCGUCCGGAAAUUAAUUUUGGAACUUAGCUUGCUCAUGAGGGAUGAUAUGUGCUCUGUCUUCUCCUAAGUGGUUCGAUUUCUUGCAUUUCUAUUCUUUUAAUGUUUAACUAUAGCCCCACUUUGGGACCUUGCAUGUUUGAUUAUGAUUGUUCUUUUCUUGCAAAUACUAGAAUACAUAUAUAUUAAACAAGUCCAAGCUUUACAAGAACACCCUUGACAAAGAAAUUUAUAAACAUGCCCAAGGGGAGUUCAUCACCAUCUUUGACCUGCACAAUCCAACAGCGUGUCGUGGGCGUAGCUUGAUCCGCGCAUGCCCUCUGUCGCCGAAACCAGAGAGUCGUUGUAACUUUCCCUAGGAAAUCAUCAUAUAUUGCCAGGAGAUGCCAAUGGUGACGUUCCAAAGCACGGAUCGUCAUCCUAGAGAAGAAGGCGGAGACAUGAUGAGAGAACCAACCCCACAUCACGCUGGAAGUGUCAUCUAAAGAUCUUAUUGACAUGACCAUUGGCGUCACAGCGAGCCGAGGCGGAAGCAUCGAGGUUGAUGACUCCUCCCUCCCCCUCCACCCCAUUAUCUGCUGGAAUUGAUUUGGGAAACCAAUCCUCACGUGCCCCGAGGUGGCACCAAAGCCAGCAAUGGACUUGUUCCAUUGCGCUGUCGCCUCCACUGUUUUGAUGGACGACAUAAGGACACCAAACCUAAUAACCUAAACCAAGGCUUCCCAUGAGGGCGCAAUCCAUGGUCUUUCGUGACUCUCGGUGCCGAAAUUGGCCGCCAGAGGUGAGGGAGACCGAUGGAAUCAGACAGCGAGGAUGAGUGGUGACUAGGGAUACAUUAGACGGAUCAGAUGUCAGAGUAAGAAGACGCCAUUGCUGCCUCGACAAGGAAAAGUCUUAAAGAGUCACGCUCACAUGGCAAUUAGAAAAAAAUGGAAGUGUUUCUAUUUCUGAAACUGGAAUAUUUCUUCGGUUCGGCACUCAGUUUAAGGCUGCAAUAAACAAACCCAAAUGGUAAGUGUCACACGUGUGGCACGAAGUAACACCGCCCUGACGUUUUUACAACUAAUAUUGCCAUCAGAAAAAAACGAGACCCUCAAAAAACCGAAACUUGCCAGCCAAACAGAAAGUUGCCAUGCUUCACAACUAAAGUUGCCAUCCCUGGGUAACUAAAGUUGCCAUCAAAAAAUGUCAGGGUGGAAUUGCUUCCUGCCACAUGUGUGGCACUUAUAUUUAGACUCUUGGUCUGUUUCUUGUUAAUUCCAUGGAAAGAGCAGCAUUGCAGUGAUACAAAUUAAUGCCUCACAUCAUUACAGAUAAUUUAUAAAAGACAUUCCAUUUGAUAGUCUAAAUCAUACAUUAAAAUUGGUUCGACCAAACAUAACACAACCUUGUUUCCGAUCCCAAAAGACAACCACCGAGUAAAAGUUAAAUGUGAUGUAAAACUGAACUCCAUGACUGCAGUACAGGCAGAUGCCAUGCCAUCUGCUAAUCGAAAUCAUACAUAGAAACUGGUUCUGCCUAACAUAUAGGAUAACCUUAUUUAUGAUCCCAAAAGAUAACAGAUGAAACUAAACUCCUUCUGACUAGCACAAUUUCACACACAGAAUGUGCAAGAAUCAGCAGGUAGAGGAGCAUCUCUCUGGAAGUUAGGGGCUAACGACCUAACUACAGCUCUCUACCCAAGAUAUUAACAUCGUUGAUUAAUAAAUCCUGCAGUCAGAAAAUAAGUUUAGUUAGAUGCAACCUUAUCUAACUCCGUACUGCUAGUACAUUAUAUAUGUGCAAAGCCUGAAAAACUUAGAGACAAGAUAGUAAAUGCCAAAACGAAAGCAGGCUCGGUAAAAAAUGGGCAGGCAUCAUGCAGCAAAAGAAUGAAAAGGCUUCUUACUUCAUUAAACAUGUUCAUGGUAGAAAUGUCAUCCCUCGAAAAACCAUCAUUAACAGCUUCCCAGAAAUCAUCACUGUCGAUAUUCAGUUGACCAUCAUCAGCUUCCUGAUUAGCUGUGCCUUGUGAUUGCGCAGAGAGGAUGCCACCUGCACCACCAUCAUUCAACAUCUGAGUUGACGUGACAGAAAUACCCAUCUGAGGGUCAGGCAUUGCAGCACCGAUGCUUGAAGCACUACCAAGUGCGAAGUUACCAUUCAGCAUCUCCACUGAGCUUGUGUUGUUGUUGAUUGCGAAGUUACCAUUCGACAUCUCCAUCGAGCUUGUGUUGUUGUUGAUUGCAAAGUUACCAUUCGACAUCUCCACCGAGCUCAUGAUGUUGUUGAUUGCGAAGUUACCAUUCGGCAUCUCCCCCGAGCUCAUGUUGUUGUUGAUUAAGAAGUUACCAUUCGGCAUCUUCACCGAGCUCAUGUUGAUUGCCAAAUGACCGUUCAGCAUCUCCACCGAGCUUAUGUUGUUGUUGAUUGAUAAAUCCUGCAGUCAGAAAACAAGUUUAGUUAGAUGCAACCUUAUCUAACUCCGUACUGCUAGUACAUUUGCAUAUGUGCAAAGCCUGAAAAACUUAGAGACAAGAUAGUAAAUGCCAAAACGAAAGCAGGCUGGGUAAAAAUGGGCAGGCAUCAUGCAGGAAAAGAAAGGGAAAGCUUCUUACCUCAUUAAGCAUGUUGAUCGUGGGAGAACGCCGCCUGCACCACCAUCAUUCAGCAUCUGAGUUGGCGCGGCAGAAAUGCCCAUCUGAAGGUCAGGCAUUGCAGCACGGAUGCUUGAAGCGCUACCAAGUGCGAAGUCACCAUUCGGCAUCUCCACCAAGCUUGUGCCGCCAUCCAUUGCGAGGUUUCAGGAGCAAUCAAAGAGUAUGCGCGUGGUGGUAGAAGACAAUAAAGUUUUGAUCUAGGAGUGACAUACCACUGGGGUCCAAAAUCAUACGCCGAAGAAUCUCGAGCAAGGACCAAGCGACCGUAUCAAACAUCCAAGCCAUAUGGCCCCUUUCGAGUCUAAUUGUCCCGAGGUCAUUCAAGUUGCUUAUAAGAUUAGGCCAGUUUCAUUUUCUCAUUGCCCAAGGGAUCAAACAAGGUGGCACACACUUUAACUAGAAGUUUCUAUGAUUUAAAUUUUGUAUUUUCUGGGAUGGCGAUGCUUCAAAUUUUCUUCUAGCUAAACUGGUUCGUGAUGUAGUAGCUGUCAUUUGAGUUUAAUAAAGUGUGCCACACCUUCCACAAAAAAAGCGACUGUAUCAAGUGCCUUGGAGAUGGCGACCUUGAGCAAGGUAGCAACUUCUCUUUUGAAGCAUCCGAGCGGUCUGGCGAACGAGGAGGAAAUUAUCGUGCGUUGUUCGCUUCUUCAAAAGGCACCCUGAAUGUGCGAUACCAGAUCGGAGUGAAAGUACCUUGGAGAUGAUCUUCACAAAGUUAUCAACUAGUAUUUGAAGUUACUAAAGAACGUGUUUGGUUCAACCCCCUUUUUUGUUAAGUUAUCUUAUUACAAUGUUACCUGAUUACCUUAAACUUGUUUGUUUGUAAAAGUUAUCAACUAGCAUUUGAAGUUACUA